CCCUUAGAUGUUCUGGGCCGCACGCGUGCUACACUGAGUGGAUCAGCGGGUCAGGUUGCGCGAAAGCGUUUCCUAAUCUUUAAAUCCGCUCGUGAUGGGGAUUGACGGUUGCAAUUUUCUGUCAUGAACGAGGAAUACCUUGUAAGCGCGGGUCAUCAUCCCGCGCUGAAUACGUCCCUGCCUUUGUACACACCGCCCGUCGCUCCUACCGAUUGAGUGGUCCGGUGAGGCUUUGGGAUCUGAGCGGAAAGAGCGUUUCGCUGUUUCUGCUCGGAAAACUCAGUCGAACCUUAUCAUUUAGAGGAAGGAGAAGUCGUAACA
rnacentral:rRNA from 1 species